rnacentral:rRNA from 1 species
AUUGAACGCUGGCGGCAGGCUUAACACAUGCAAGUCGAACGGUAACAUAAGAAAAGCUUGCUUUUUUUGAUGACGAGUGGCGGACGGGUGAGUAAUGCUUGGGAAUCUGCCUUAUGGAGGGGGAUAACUACGGGAAACUGUAGCUAAUACCGCAUAAUAUCUACGGAUUAAAGUGUGGGAUCUUCGGACCACAUACCAUAAGAUGAGCCCAAGUGAGAUUAGGUAGUUGGUGAGGUAAAGGCUCACCAAGCUGACGAUCUCUAGCUGGUUUGAGAGGAUGACCAGCCACACUGGGACUGAGACACGGCCCAGACUCCUACGGGAGGCAGCAGUGGGGAAUAUUGCACAAUGGGCGCAAGCCUGAUGCAGCCAUGUCGCGUGAAUGAAGAAGGCUUUCGGGUUGUAAAGUUCUUUCAUUAGUGAGAAAGGUAUAAAUGUUAAUAGCAUUUGUAAUUGAUGUUAGCUAAAGAAGAAGCACCGGCUAACUCCGUGCCAGCAGCCGCGGUAAUACGGAGGGUGCGAGCGUUAAUCGGAAUAACUGGGCGUAAAGGGCAUGCAGGCGGUUACUUAAGUCAGAUGUGAAAGCCCCGAGCUUAACUUGGGAAUUGCAUUUGAAACUGGGUGACUAGAGUCCUCUAGGGAGGGGUAGAAUUCCACGUGUAGCGGUGAAAUGCGUAGAGAUGUGGAGGAAUACCGAAGGCGAAGGCAGCCCCUUGGAGAGAGACUGACGCUCAUAUGCGAAAGCGUGGGGUAGCAAACAGG